rnacentral:rRNA from 1 species
CCUACGGGAGGCUGCAGUGGGGAAUAUUGCACAAUGGGCGAAAGCCUGAUGCAGCAACGCCGCGUGAGCGAUGACGGCCCUCGGGUCGUAAAGCUCUGUUUUUACGGAAGUUAAUGACGGUACUUGUGGUGGAAGCCCCGGCAAACUACGUGCCAGCUGCCGCGGCAAUAGGUCGGGGGCUAGCGUUAUCCGGAAUUACUGGGCGUAAAGGGUGUGUAGGGGGUUUCUUAAGUCAGAGGUAAAAGGCUACGGCUCAACCGUAGUAAGCCUUUGAAACUGGGAAACUUGAGUGCAGGAGAGGUAAGUGGAAUUCCUAGUGUAGCGGUGAAAUGCGUAGAUAUUAGGAGGAACACCAGUUGCGAAGGCAGCUCUCUGAACUGUAACUGACGCUGAGGCACGAAAGCGUGGGGAGCAAACAGGAUUAGAUACCCUUGUAGUC